CCGCAUCUUACCCGCCCGCCUGCCUUAUACUCGAAUCUGCUUUAAUUUUAGUUUACAAUUUUAGUGCUAAAUCCCAAAUGAAUAUAAGCCCCUUUUCUCAUUUAGAUGGAAAACCCUAGUCAAUAAUCACACACUAAGCCUCCCUCUCUUCAGUUUUCAGUGUUAUCUUUGUAUCUCUCUCUCUCUCCCCUCCUCUGUAAUCUGCUACUCUCUCAUAGGCUCCUACUCCUUUCGUCCUCUGUCGAGCCGCAGUUGCGCCACCUCCGUUCCCCAGAUUUCAUCUCUCACUUUACACCUCAAGCAUCAAUGGAUAUUAUCUAAUUGGGAGAAACUGAAGCGGCGCAACUCUAAGGCUGAAGCAAAGCUUUGUCAUGGUGAUAUCAUAUCGCUGGUAGUAGUGUAGCACCUCCUCAGAAGUCUGAUUUGAUUUUAUAAAAAUUUGUGUAUUUCUUUAAUUAAUUUAUGGAAACAUUAUUAAUUUUCGGCAUUUGUCGUGUUUAAGUAAUAUACUAAUUUUAAUUAAGAAUGUUCUUAAAACAUUGUUUUAUUUUUAGAUUAUGAGCAUUGAGAAAUAUGUUGUAUU